GACGAACGCUGGCGGCGUGGAUUAGGCAUGCAAGUCGAACGGUAUCAUCCUUUCGGGGGUGAGAGAGUGGCGAACUGGUGAGUAACACGUAGGUUAUCUACCCUCAAGACGGGGACAACCCAGGGAAACUUGGGCUAAUACCGGAUGUGAGCAACUUUUAGUUGUUUGAAAGGUGGCGUAAGCUGUCGCUUGGGGAUGAGCCUGCGUCCUAUUAGUUAGUUGGUGAGGUAACGGCUCACCUAGGCAAUGAUAGGUAGGCGGCCUUAACGGGUGGUCGCCCACACUGGGAUUGAGAUACGGCCCAGACUCCUACGGGAGGCAGCAGUCGAGAAUAGUCUACAAUGGUCGGAAGACUGAUAGUGACGACGCCGCGUGAACGAUGAAUCCCUUCGGGGUUAAAGUUCUUUUAUAUGUGAGCAGUGCUUCUUAUAUUAACAGUAUGGGGAAGAGUAUAAUUAGCAUAAUGAAUAAGCAACGGCUAACUCCGUGCCAGCAGCCGGGUAAU
rnacentral:rRNA from 1 species